AUAUAAAAGAUGGCAGGGCUGCUAUACCUUUAACAAUUGUGUAGAAAAGGAAAUUAUAGGAGCUGUAACUUGGCUGCCCCAGAUAUGUGUAUGGUCUACAUGCUUGUGUCUUGCACCUGUGUAGAAAAAGAAAUCUGCAUUCUUCUCCAACAGAACUAAUUAUUCAUCAGCAUACUUUUUAAAAUUCUGUAUAAUAUGACCUGAUUUGCACAUGAUGAUAAACCACUGAUUUAAUGCAAACAUUUUUGUUUGGCUUACUACUCAUGGUAAACCAUGAAUGCUGGUUCUCGCAUAACAGGCUAAAGUAAGCCAGCCUCUAGUUUAUUUCUUCCUGCUAUGGAGCAGACAGGAGCAGGAAAAGAGUGAAAUGGGCAGUAAUGAGCAGCAUGCUGCUUAUUCACAGUAAACUUUUUUUUUUGCUUUUAACUAUGGUUUAAUGUUACAUGGGGACCCGGCCUAUAUGUGGGCAUUUUAACAAGCUGUGCUGCCAUUCUCUUGAAGGGGAAAAGGAAAAUCAGUCAAGAAUUGUUUGGAGCUGUAUGGUCAAUCAAGUGUGCUGCAUUCAGUCUGAAGUUUGGAAUGAGAUUAAGCUGGAUGCAUUGAUGGAAUGUGUAUCUCUGCUUGGAGGAGAGCAACUUGAAUGUCUCGAUGCUGCCUAUGGGGCUUUCCUGAAUCAACCUCUUAUCCCUUUUAAUUGGUCGGUUUCCAUGGCUUGGCGUUGGUCUUGCUCCUGUCACUUUUACCAGCCUUCUUUAGAUAACUUUUUGUUUCAGUGUAAGAUUGUAAGAGCUAUGGUGCAUUAUGCUUUUUAAUUGGGUAAAGGAUCAGUACAUUUUUAAAGGAAUGGUUCUUUGCAUGUAUGAAAACAUGAGGUUAUGUUUAAUUAUGUCAUUUUUUAGACUACAAAUUUUCGUAUUACAUUUGAACUGCAAUGCUGACAGUGCCACUCAAAAGGAUAUGCAAUGCAGCACCAUUCAGGAAUUUUCCUGCCCCAUGAUGCUGGUGACUGCUGUCAACGUGGUGGAAGUGCAUGGAACGCGUGGUCUCCUCCUUCGGCCCACUCAAUGGAUAGACACUACAGUGACUUUGUCCAUGAACGCAAUGUGAAGAAUGCAGGAGUGUACAGACAGGCAUUUGGUUCUGGUGUCCAAACUGCCAUGACUGACUUGUAGAACCUUUGACCUUUAGGAAACCUCAGUUGUUCCCUGCGACACCCUGGGAGUAUUGAUGCGUUGAAGGAUAUGGUUUUUUAAAUAAUUAGCCCAUGUGCUGAAACACCUGAAUAUUAAGGAAUAGCUUACUAGAUAUUUCUCUUUAAACAUAGAUCUCUUGCCACUGAUUGUGUUACAUUGAAGAGAAAAUAUUUUAAGGCUUUUCUUAAUGGGGAAAAAAGGAUUAAAUAGCUUCCUUGUAACAAAGCUGCAUAUUGUACCCAUAGGAACCAUAUUUUGUUCUCCAAGGGUUUUAAGUAAACACGGGCACCAACACUAGUUUAAUUGUGCUUGACAUGACCUUGUAACUGUUGUAUAUAUUUUUAAAAGAGAACAGAGGAGAUGGCAACUGGUAGGUGAAGGCUGCUCCUUUUUUAGAUCUUCUGCACUUUUAAUAGCGCUCCUAAUUGGAAAUGAAAUACAGUUAUACAUUUUAUAUUAAAAAUAAAAUACUUUCAAGGAGACCUGAAGGAAUAUUAAGUAGGUUGUCUGAGAGUGUCAUUUUGAAAUGUUUUGCACUGAAUGCAAAAACCUGUUCACCUGUGUUCACUAGUAAAUCAUGUAAGCAUGCCUGUAUCCCUAUUGGUGUAAGCAUUUCCCGUUAUAUGUGACCAAUUCUCUUCUGCUUCAGACAUGCCAGUUCUAGAUAACAUCUACUUCAGAAACAAAGAGAAUGAUCCUGGCAAUCUCAAGAGCUCAGAAUUAUGUGCCAGGCUAUUUCCAUCUCACCCUUCAUUCUUCCAUCAUAUUAUUCAAAAGGAAAAUUGUUCUGCACCUUCCCUCACUUCAGUUUGAUCCCUAUGACAUGAUGAAAUUCCUCCAUUGGGGCUUUUUUCAGAUCAGGAGACACAGGCAUGUCUUUCCUCCUGCUGGCCUCUGCAUGCAGAGUGACACCAGUGUUCACUGCCUCUGUGGAGUUCCCAAUUUCAUCCCAUUAGAGGGAUGUCUGCUGGUGUUAGCUCACAAAAAACAAACAAACCCUAUAUUCCAGUAGGAAUACAGGCAUUCCAGAGGAUGGAUUGAGCCGCUCCAGAGUCUGCUAGAUCCCUAGCCAACUCCACUGUUGUCACUUGACAGUUUUACUUGUCUUGCCCUAACCGGCAUGAGCAGCAUGACUGUGGACGUAGCGGUAGCUCCACCUUUCUGUCACAUCCCACCACUCCCUGGACAGGGUUGGGGUUGUCCUGGUAAUCUACAAACUUGCAAACUGCCCAUUGUUAUGAUUGGGAGUGAGGAGACAUUGUAGAAUAUAUGGACUUUAAAGGCCAUAGUUCAUCACUCAUCCACAAAUGGAAAAACUCGCACCGCCAUCCACAUAUUACAGAGGUAUUUCUAAACAUUUUUAAAAUUGAGCCCAUUCUAAAUUUACUGUACCUCCCAAGUCUUACAACCCACUGGUAGCCAUCUCUUUGGCAUGUACCUCUUUGUAUAUGUGCAUCUGUGGAUCAGUACCCUAAUCUAACAAUGACAUUGGAAGAGUACUAGAACAGGGAGUGGUCUGUGAGCUUCAUUCAGGUGGUCCACAGCAUGUCUGUGGAUUUGUGGUUGAAGAUAGGAGACAGUACUUCCAUUGCAUAAAAUAUUCAUAUUGAUUUUUAAUUAUAAUUUUAUAAUAAUUUAUACAAUAGUAGAGUUGGAAAGGGCCUAUAAGGCCAUCAUGUCCAACCCCCUGCUCAGUGCAGGAAUCCAAUAUAAAGCAGUAGGUAGCUGCCCAAUAGAUAGCUGUCCAGCUACCUCUUGAAUGCCUCCAGCGUUGGAGAGCCCACAACUUCCCUAGAUAAUUGGUUCCAUUGUCGUACAGCUCUAUCAACUAGGAAGUUUUUCCUGAAGUUCAGCUGAAAUCUGGCUUCCUGUAAGUUGAGCCUAUUAUACGGUGUCCUGCACUCUGGGACAAUCGAGAAGAGAUCCUGGCCCUCCUCUGUGUGGCAGCCUUUCAAGUACUUGAAAAGUGCUAUCAUUAUCUCCUCAGUCUAAUUUUAUUUCUUGUAUCAUAUUUUAUUGUAUUACGAUUUGAAUUCUAUGGAAUUUAGAUUAUAGUACAAUAUUUAAGAAAUAAAGGGUGCAAUAAAAAUAAAUUUAAAAAAUCAUACAGCUUCUGGAACAGCACAUUACAGUUGCUAAAACAAGCAGAAAGAUCAUUAAGUGGCCUGCCAAGACCCUCAACAAUUUUCAAGUGGUCUAUGGGCAAAAACGUUUGGGAACCACUGUUCUAGAAAUAGCAUCUCAUAUUCGCUCCUAAAAUCAGCCAUGGUGGAGAUGAUGAGAAGACGCUAUUGUGGUUGCAUAGUUUCUAUUUCUCUCCAAUAGUUAGCAUAGCACUUUUGGUGACUGUAGUAUCUCUGACUGACUGCUCCAGAAUGUUCUUCCUUCCUAUAAUUUCACUGUGCCUUCCCCUAUGGAGGGGAGGUGGGAUUGCACCAUAGUAUGAGAACCAUGGUGCUACAGGGCAAUGUAUUAAUCUGUUUUGAUGAAAGUGACAAAUGAAGCGGUCCUAAGAAACAGUGCAUGUGAAAAGACAGUUUUCUUUAGGAGAGCAGCAGUUUUCUUCAUUGCAGAAGUUUUCUUCAGACCUUUCUCACUGACUGUGGUUUCAUGUAGAGACCACUAAAAUAUCCUAGAUCUUUUGUGAUCUUCUGGUUAGGAGCUACCCCUCUGUCUGCCACAGUUACUUUUGCUUGAGCAAUCAAUAGAAUUUAAUUUGGUCUCAAGGCUAUCCUGUGGCCUGUAUGCUAAGGAUAUUUUAACAUAAGUAAAAUGUACUGGAGACAAUAUGUGAGAGAGGAGAAAGUCGCAUUGAUUUACUGUUGUUGCUUCAAAAAAGAAUUGUACUAUGCAUCAUGUGAAUAUACAUUACAAAUUUGACAAGAGGAAGUAACUGUGGCAGACAGAUGGGUAGCCAAAAAUGGGUGGGAUCCCCUCCUUUUCUCUCUUCCUCCCAACUCAGUGGGUUGCUGAGAGGACAGAUCACUUCAGAACUCCAAGCCAGACUCAGUACAUCUUGAGGCUUUCCUUCCACAUAUGUUUCACCUUUUUUCAAUGUUUUUCCCUUUCUACACUCUGGCCUCCCUUCACCCACAUGAAAUUAGGCAAAGGUUCACAAGUUGUUCACCGCAAACUAGAUGAAGCUUCCACUAAAGAAUUCCACUGAAGAUUUUGGUUGAGAUGUCAUCAAUAUGCUGAUGGCACUUGGUUGUAUUUUUUACCCUCCACAAGUUGAAGAAUGAACUUCUGAAGCAGGCAGACUCCUGUACUGUUCAGGCUCCCUGUAAGAUUUAGAAUAAUCUCUGCAUAAUCAGAGUUCUAAGUCAUAUGGAGAUCCUAUAGGAGGCUCCCUACUUUAAAAGUUUGUCCUUAUAAACCAGAGGGGCAGAGUCUUGCACCGUUCUCUUGUUCUUCUCAUGUGUUUGUCAUCGCAUGAAAAAACUGAGCUAUCAGAUAGGACCAAUGAAGAUAGCUUGUCUUCCAUCCCCUUGGCCCUCAAUCAGAAUUUGUAAAGCAGUACCUCUAUUAGCGCUUUCCAAUAGCUAAAAGUCAUUUAUAGGUAUAUGCACUUCUUAAAUAUUUGGCAAGAUUGAGCUCUGCAUAUGCUCAAAUAAUGUUGGCUAAAGAAGAUGAGAAUGAUAUUCAAAUUAUGUUAAGAAGGAACAUAAAAAACUGCCUUAUGCAGCUUAAAUCCAUUGGUCUAUCAAGCUCAGUAUUGUCUACACUGACUGACACAGCAGGCCUCCAGGGUUUCAGACCAAGGACGUUCCAGCCCUAUCUGGAGAUAGGAGGCAUUGCUUGGGGUCUUCUGCAUGCAAAGUAGAGGUUCUGCCAUUGGGCUAUGGCUGUUACAUAUAACUAAACCUACCCAUUCCUUUGCUAAUAGAUACAACAUUGGGUGGACAAGCUUUUUGUAAAAAAACAAAAACAUGUAGAGAGACUAAGGAGAGCAAAAUUGUCUUGUUUGAAAAAUCUUGCAUGUAUGAUUUUUGUAUGCUGCCUGCAGACCAAGUCAUUUUAAAAAGAAACACAUUGGCUUGUAAAAAAGAGAAAAAACGGUGGAAAGUAUGAAAUGCAAUAAAAUCUUGUAAAGGCUGCAUUUUCCCCCAUCCAGGUUUUAUGGGAGGGUGCUAUAGCAACAUGGAAGUGAAAGAUGGGAUCAUAAUUCUUAAUAAUAAAACAUAAGUGCUGUGUAAUAAGAUUGUAAGGAGAAUGAACAAGAGUGGAUAGAACACCUUGAUUCUUUUAAAUAGAUAACAAUGUUUAAGAUUUGUAUCUGUAUCCAGAGCUUUUUGAAGAAGUAAUUGUUACCAACUGCAUUUUCCAGAGUCAUAAUCUUAACAUGAGUAUGAAAGUCAUAAUGCAGCUCAGGAAAGCCACAUGUGAGUGGGUGUCAAAUUUGUGUCCAAAGAAGUAAAUUGUAAAGAAAAAGUACCUUUCUGGCUUGCCUAACAGGAAAAAGUGGAUACCAGAAGAAUGUUCACAUUCUGGAAAAUAGUUGUGUAGUAUUUGAGAAGGCUUCAGUCAUAGUAUUGUGUCAUUUUAUUUAUUUAAAGAUUUAUACCCCAUUUCAGGGCAAAAGCCUCCCAGAAACCUUUACAAGCGCUUGUAAAUGCUUACCCAACCCCAAUCCAUACACCUUGUGACUUUUUAAAAAAUGCUAGAGAGGAACAUGAGAGCCCUGUACCUGUACUUGCAUAGUGCACAGAAGGAGUGAGAAACUUUGAGGGCCGCAUUUCAACUUGGGCAACCUUCUGGGGUCCGUAUGCCAGGGGUGGGUGGGGGCAGAGCAGCAGAUAAAUGUGGUACUUACCUUUCUAUGGUAGGCUACAAAGUAGUCAUGCAAAAGUCAAAACGUUUACACUCAGUCUCUAUUCAAGCAAGCAAUAGGCAAGAUCACAGUUCAAGGGCACAUUCCAGAAGCCAAAAGUACCCAAGCAGGGCAUGAAGCAGAGCUACUGUGGGAUGUAACCUUGGGAGAAGUGUAUGUAUGUUGAGAAGAGUUCUGAGUGGUGGAUCGAGAGGCCUGGGGGAUCAUAUUAGGAUCCUGAGCCUGAAGUUCCCAUCCCUGUUACACAGACUUAAUUUGAAUUGGUUAUGUCUGAAACCUUGUUUCCUUUUCGUAUCCUGUGUAGUAUGCCUCUGAUUGUUGAUUUACUGGAUGACAAGGAAUUGUUGAAAACUUGUAUUGACAAUGCUGCUGGUUUUCCUCCUGCUGGAGGGUCAGCUGGAGCUCUGGAAGAAACAGACCUUAGUUUCUCUCCUCAUGGCACCAAGGACCAACCCUCUGAGAAUGCAGCUUUUGUUGUAAUUGAAGAUGCAUCAUUGAAACUGAAACGUCUGGAAGCAGAACUCAACCCAUUGCUGGUUUCCCAAUCCAACAUUAACACCAACAA